GAGAGAGACAUGCGCGCAUAUCAAUAAGCGGAGGAAAAGAAACUAACAAGGAUUCCCCUAGUAACGGCGAGUGAAGCGGGAAGAGCUCAAAUUUGAAAUCUUAAAGGGUUUCCCUUUACGAAUUGUAGUUUAAAGAAGUGUUUUCUGUUGAGGUUUUGGUAAAAGUUCUUUGGAAUAGGACAUCAUAGAGGGUGAGAAUCCCGUAUUUGACCUUUACUUUCAACUUUGUGAUACACUUUCAAAGAGUCGGAUUGUUUGGGAAUGCAGUCCAAAAUGGGUGGUAAAUUUCAUCUAAAGCUAAAUAUUGGCGAGAGACCGAUAGCGAACAAGUACCGUGAGGGAAAGAUGAAAAGAACUUUGAAAAGAGAGUUAAACAGUACGUGAAAUUGUCAAAAGGGAAGCGUUUGACACCAGUGUUGUUUUCUCGAAAAUCAAUUAAAGAACUGUUUAUGCUAAGCUGUUUAGACUUUAUCAGCUAAUCUGUUUAGUUUUGAGCUUUUCUUUAAUGCACUUUUCAGUUAACAAGUCAACAUCAAUUUCUUUUGCUGUAAAAAAGCUUGAGGAAGGUGGCUUGAGAUUCGUCUUAAGUGUUUAUAGCCUCUUGCCUAUGCAGUCGGAGAGAUUGAGGUCUGCAGCGUAGAUCCUUCGGGGCUAAAUGCAUUUGUGCUAAGUUAUAGCAUUUUAUAGACAACUUGUUGACUAUGAUUUGUCUUGUAGCUUACUCGCUUAUGUUAUUUUACCUACGCUUAGGAUGUUGAGCGCAUGUCUCUCUCU
rnacentral:rRNA from 1 species